UACGGAGGGGACUAGCGUUGUUCGGAUUUACUGGGCGUAAAGCGCACGUAGGCGGAUCGUUAAGUCGGGGGGUGAAAAUCCUGGAGCUCAACUCCAGAACUGCCUUCGAUACUGGCGAUCUUGAGUCCGGAAGAGGUGAGUGGAACUCCUAGUGUAGAGGUGGAAUUCGUAGAUAUUAGGAAGAACACCAGUGGCGAAAGGCGGCUCCACCUGGUCCGGUACUGACGCUGAGGUGCGAAAGCGUGGGGAGCAAACAGG
rnacentral:rRNA from 1 species